UACGGGGGGGGGCGAGCGUUGUUCGGAAUUACUGGGCGUAAAGGGUUUGUAGGUGGCCUGCUAAGUCAGACGUGAAAUCCCUCAGCUUAACUGGGGAACUGCGUCUGAUACUGGCGGGCUUGAGGACAGGAGAGGAACGCGGAAUUCCAGGUGUAGCGGUGAAAUGCGUAGAUAUCUGGAGGAACACCGGUGGCGAAGGCGGCGUUCUGGACUGUAUCUGACACUGAUAGACGAAAGCCAGGGGAGCAAACGGG
rnacentral:rRNA from 1 species